GUCCGUAAUAGAUCCACCUUUUCUUUACCGAUCGAUUGGUGCAUGUCCGUGCUAGAUCUGUGCUAUGGGCAGAAGUGAGAGAUACGUUAGUAAGGCAAAGACGGACAAUCAAACUCUGUCCGCCCUCUGUUUAGACCAUCAGUUAGAGAGAGAAAGCAUCGCGGUGGGGUAAGCCGACUUUUACCUCAAAAACUAGGCGAAAAUUGUUGGUAGCAGCGAAAUCCCCUAUGGCUACCUAAUUUCAUUUCUGCAGAUUGGUAACAUUGCGUAAGUAGUAAUCUGUCAGAUUGCGAGAAACCUUUUUAACAUAUGCAUGCGCGUAUGUGAGGCAUUACCAAUAAAAUUUGCUUUAUUUUCUCUUGUAAAUUGCAAUAAAGCAAUAAUGAGUGUAUUAUUGAUAAUAGAUCAUUUGACAUGUUUGUAUUUUUCUAAUCUAAAUCUGUUGUUUAUAUUUUUCUCUUUCGAAAUAGAAAAAUAUAAAUAGAAUAGAACUAUACUCGUUAUUGCUUGAUUGCAAUUUGCAAGGGAAGGUAAUGCAAAUUUUAUUAGUAGUGCCUCAAAAUACUACUGCGCGCGCACAAGUAGUGCUUAGUAGUAUUUUUCUACAAGGGUGCUUUUUAGUUUUGCAACGUGCCUAGAUGUUCUUUGCAGAGUCAAUGUCAUCAUCAUCGUAUCCCUGAAGAAUGAAAUAUCAGACAACUUUAGAAUUAGAGAUGGAAUUCUUUCAGAAACAUCAAGGAUCGAUUCAAAGGAGACGAUUUAUUUGACAGGACGUUAAAAAUAAAUAUUAAUAUACAAAUUAUUAACUGCAGUAUUUUAAUAAAUUUAUCUGCAAUAUUAUCUCUUUUCUUCAAUCUCGCCCAGAAUUUGGAGUGCUUCAAAAAACUGUGGAUGUUUUUUUGAUGUUCACUAAGGCACGAUCAUCUGCUGGAUCGUACAACGACUGACAAUGUAGAAAAAUGUAUAGAACGUCACAAAAAGAAAAAUCUUGGGCCCAACAAUUUGAACGAGCUGCAUUUAUGAUUACAGAAAAAUAACUGGAAACAGUUAUUAAAAAUGGAUGCAAUGGUACUUUUGAUACACUACCAAAGCCAAAAAAUAAAAAUUGUCAAUUAUGGACAAUUUUAAUUAGACAUGAUAAUAGAACAUUUUUAAUUGUGUAUGCAGUAAUGGAAGGACGGACUACUGAAAAUUAUAUUAAUGUACUAAGAAAAGUGGUAAAUAAUAUAAGUAUAAAACCAAAAAUAGCAAUUUGUGAUUUUGAAAAAGCAGAAAAAAGGCACUGCAAACACUGUUUCCGCAGGCAAGAAUUAUUGGAUGU